UGGAGGUUGUGCCCUUGAGGCGUGGCUUCCGGAGCUAACGCGUUAAGUCGACCGCCUGGGGAGUACGGCCGCAAGGUUAAAACUCAAAUGAAUUGACGGGGGCCCGCACAAGCGGUGGAGCAUGUGGUUUAAUUCGAUGCAACGCGAAGAACCUUACCUGGUCUUGACAUCCACAGAACUUUCCAGAGAUGGAUUGGUGCCUUCGGGAACUGUGAGACAGGUGCUGCAUGGCUGUCGUCAGCUCGUGUUGUGAAAUGUUGGGUUAAGUCCCGCAACGAGCGCAACCCUUAUCCUUUGUUGCCAGCGGUCCGGCCGGGAACUCAAAGGAGACUGCCAGUGAUAAACUGGAGGAAGGUGGGGAUGACGUCAAGUCAUCAUGGCCCUUACGACCAGGGCUACACACGUGCUACAAUGGCGCAUACAAAGAGAAGCGACCUCGCGAGAGCAAGCGGACCUCAUAAAGUGCGUCGUAGUCCGGAUUGGAGUCUGCAACUCGACUCCAUGAAGUCGGAAUCGCUAGUAAUCGUGGAUCAGAAUGCCACGGUGAAUACGUUCCCGGGCCUUGUACACACCGCCCGUCACACCAUGGGAGUGGGUUGCAAAAGAAGUAGGUAGCUUAACCUUCGGGAGGGCGCUUACCACUUUGUGAUUCAUGACUGGGGUGAAGUCGUAACAAGGUAACCGUAGGGGAACCUGCGGUUGGAUCAC
rnacentral:rRNA from 1 species